rnacentral:rRNA from 1 species
AUGGACACCAUGUCCGCUCCUUCAAGAUACAUCAGUGGGGGUGGGGGGAUCGCGCACCGCACGGCUGACACGGCGAGCGGUUGCACGAGCCCGUCCUCUUCCGGUCAUCGCAUCCCUCGCCAAGCUAAGAUCCCGGCGGGCGCGGACGACGACCACGUGACCCUCGACGGCGGGAGUAUGCAGCAGCCACGCGCGUGGUCGUUCCUUCGCCGGGCGAGCGCCGGCAGCUCCGGUUCUUCCUUGUCUCCAGGCCGGUGGAAUCUCCACUGGGUCAGCCUACGUGCCUGCUUGCACGCCAGAGAGGUGGAGUGCGCACUGCAGUCCAUCCAUGGCAUUGGACGGGCACGCGGCCGUCACAUCCUUUCAGAGCUCAAUUUGGAAAAUAAGGUCACCAAGGACCUCUCCAAGGAGGAGAUCAUCACCCUCCGUGAGGGGAUCGCAAAGUACAUGAUUGGAGGAGACCUAAGACGGUUUAAGAGUGCGGCUAUCGAAAGAUUAGAGGGGACUAGAUGCUACAGGGGCAUCCGGCACGAGGAUGCGCUCCCGGUGCGUGGCCAGAGAACAAAGACCAAUGGCAGGACUCGCAAGGAAAAGAGGGCUUGA